rnacentral:rRNA from 1 species
UACGUAGGGGGCAAGCGUUGUCCGGAUUUAUUGGGCGUAAAGAGCGUGUAGGCGGCCAGACAGGUCAGCUGUGAAAACUCGAGGCUCACCUCGAGACGCCGGUGGAAACCAUCAGACUAGAGUCCGGAAGAGGAGAGUGGAAUUCCUGGUGUAGCGGUGAAAUGCGCAGAUAUCAGGAAGAACACCCGUGGCUAAGGCGGCUCUCUAGUACGGUACUGACGCUGAGACGCGAAAGCGUGGGGAGCGAACAGG